rnacentral:rRNA from 1 species
CAAGCUACACAGGUGCACGUGAGGAUGCCUUGGCACCAGGAGCCGACGAAAGACGUGGGUUAGCUGCGAUAAGCCUCGGGGAGCCGUAACCAGGCCUUGAUCCGGGGAUGUCUGAGAUUCGGAAACGACGCGGAGCAGCCCUCCGCGAGCCGUAUGUGAAUCCAUAGCAUGCGGUAGGGAACGCAGGGAACUGAACCAUCUCAGUACCUGCAGGAAAGGAAAGAAACAUCGACACCCCCAGUAGCGGUGAGCGAAAAGGGUUCAGCCCAAACCAUGUGCGUGUAAGCCCGAAGGCGUUGCGUAUGUGGGGUUGUGGGAGCCUCAGGCGGAGCUUCGGACCCGCGAUGGAGUUACCAAGUUAUGUCAUAGUCGAACCGACUGGAAAGUCGGGCCAAAGUGGGUGAUAGCCCCGUAGGCGAAAUGGCAUAGCCUCCAGAGGAUUUCCCGAGUAGCGCCAGUCCCGUGGAACCUGGCGUGAAUCGACGGGGCCCACCCCGUAAGGCUAAGUACUACCUGGUGACCGAUAGCGUAUAGUAGCGCGAGCGAAAGGUGAAAAGAACCCCUUCAAGGGGAGUGAAACAGAACCUGAAACCGUGUACCGACAAGCGGUUGGAGCCCUAUUGACAGGGUGACAGCGUGCCUUUUGCAUAAUGACCCGGCGAGUUGGCGUAGGAGGCGAGGUUAAGGGUUUAAGGCCCGAAGCCGAAGCGAAAGCGAGUGCGAAAUGUGCGGAUUUAGUCUUAUGCGCCAGACCCGAAAGCAGAUGAUCUAACCAUGGGCAGGGUGAAGCGGAUGUAAGAGUUCGUGGAGGCCCGAACCGGUUGAUGUUGAAAAAUCUUCGGAUGACCUGUGGUUAGGGGUAAAAGGCCAAUCAAAUCUGCAGAUAGCUGGUUCUUCCCGAAACUACUUUAGGGUAGGCGUUGUGGGUUGAGCCGCGGGGGUAGAGCGACUGUUCUGGUUGGGGGCCCUUACCGGGUACCCCGCCUAGACAAACUCCGAAUACCGCGGUGUAUUCCACGGCAGUUAGACUACGAGGGAUAAGCUUCGUGGUCGAGAGGGAAACAGCCCAGACCGACGGCCAAGGCCCCAAAUCCAUUGCUGAGUGUAUGUAAGGAAGUGAAGUUGCCCAGACAGCUAGGAUGUUGGCUUAGAAGCAGCCAUCAUUUAAAAAGUGCGUAACAGCUUACUAGUCGAGCAACUUUGCGCCGAAAAUGAACGGGACUAAGCAUGGAGCCGCAGCCUCGGGAUGUAUGUGGUGAACGCAUACAUCGGUAGGGAAGCGUUGGACUAACGAUUGAAGGGCGAGGGUAACCACGCCUGGACGAGGUCCAAGUGAUAAUGCCGGGAUGAGUAGCGAUAAACAGGGUGAGAAUCCCUGUCGCCGUAAGCCGAAGGUUUCCUGGGGAAGGCAAUUCCGCCCAGGGUUAGUCGGUCCCUAAGGCGAGGCCGAAAGGCGUAGUCGAUGGGAAGCAGGUCAACAUUCCUGCACCGCCAACAUGCGUUUGCACCGAGGAGUGACGGCGGGUAGAAGGCAACGCCGGUGUAUUAGAUGCCGGUCCCUGCAGAGGGGUGCCUGGUAGGUAAAUCCGCCAGGGGAAUCUCCGAAGCGGGGGGAGCUGUAAGGCAAACGUGCCGGAAGUCCGUCCGAGAAAAACUUCGUUCGGAAGUGUGUUUGGCGACCGUACCUAAACUGACACAGGUAGGCGAGGUGAAUAUCCCAAGGCGCUCGAGAGAACCCUCGUUAAGGAACUCGGCAAAAUGGCCCCGUAAGUUCGCGAGAAGGGGUGCCAGCGUGAGCUGGCCACAGCAAAGCGGUAGGAGCGACUGUUUACUAAAAACACAGGACUCUGCAAAGUCGCAACGACGACGUAUAGAGUCUGACACCUGCCCGCUGUCGGAACGUUAAGGCGACUGGUUAGCGCAAGCGAAGCUAGGAACUGAAGCGCCGAUGAAGGGCGGCCGUAACUAUGACGGUCCUAAGGUAGCGAAAUUCCUUGUCGGGUAAUUUCCGACCCGCACGAAUGGUGUAACGACUCCUACACUGUCUCAACGAGGGACUCGGCGAAAUUGUAGUCGUGGUGAAGAUGCCACGUUCCCGCAUCAAGACGGAAAGACCCCGUGAACCUUCACUGCAGCCUAUUACUGGCUCUCGCCAUGGAAUGUGUAGGAUAGGUGGGAGACGUUAUGCCGUGGUCGCCAGAUCACGGAUAGUCACUGGUGAAAUACCACUCUUUUCAUGGUUGGAUUCUAACCCGGGACCGUUAUCCGGCCCGGGGACAGUGGUAGGUGGGCAGUUUGACUGGGGCGGUCUCCUCCGAAAGCGUAACGGAGGAGUGCAAAGGUACCCUCAGUGCGGUCGGUAAUCGCACGUAGAGCGUAAAGGUAUAAGGGUGCUUAACUGCGAGACAAAUAGGUCGAGCAGGUGCGAAAGCAGGUCUUAGUGAUCCGGUGGUCCCGUGUGGAAGGGCCAUCGCUCAUCAGAUAAAAGGUACUCCGGGGAUAACAGGCUGAUCUCCCCCAAGAGUCCAUAUCGACGG